GCCUUCGUGGCACAAUGGUUAGCGCGUGGGCCUUUUAAGCCCAAGGUUGUGGGUUCGAGACCCACCGAGGGCG
rnacentral:tRNA from 1 species